GUGGCGAACGGGUGAGUAACACGUGGGCAACCUGCCCUCAGCUCUGGGAUAACUCCAAGAAAUUGGGGCUAAUACUGGAUAUGACCGCUGACCGCAUGGUCUGGUGGUGGAAAGAUUUAUCGGCUGGGGAUGGGCCCGCGGCCUAUCAGCUUGUUGGUGGGGUAGUGGCCUACCAAGGCGACGACGGGUAGCCGGCCUGAGAGGGUGACCGGCCACACUGGGACUGAGACACGGCCCAGACUCCUACGGGAGGCAGCAGUGGGGAAUAUUGCGCAAUGGGCGAAAGCCUGACGCAGCGACGCCGCGUGGGGGAUGACGGCCUUCGGGUUGUAAACCUCUUUCAGCAGGGACGAAGCGAAAGUGACGGUACCUGCAGAAGAAGCACCGGCCAACUACGUGCCAGCAGCCGCGGUAAUACGUAGGGUGCAAGCGUUGUCCGGAAUUAUUGGGCGUAAAGAGCUCGUAGGCGGUUUGUUGCGUCGGCUGUGAAAACCUGAGGCUCAACCUCAGGCCUGCAGUCGAUACGAGCAGACUAGAGUGUUGCAGGGGAGACUGGAAUUCCUGGUGUAGCGGUGAAAUGCGCAGAUAUCAGGAGGAACACCGGUGGCGAAGGCGGGUCUCUGGGCAACAACUGACGCUGA
rnacentral:rRNA from 1 species